GACGAACGCUGGCGGCGUGCUUAACACAUGCAAGUCGAACGGUGAAAGCGGAGCUUGCUCCGCUGGAUCAGUGGCGAGCGGGUGAGUAACACGUGGGCAACCUGCCCCUCACUUCGGGAUAACUCCGGGAAACCGGGGCUAAUACCGGAUAUGACCUCCUUGGGCAUCCUUGGAGGUGGAAAGUUUUUCGGUGAGGGAUGGGCCCGCGGCCUAUCAGCUUGUUGGUGAGGUAGUGGCUCACCAAGGCGACGACGGGUAGCCGGCCUGAGAGGGCGACCGGCCACACUGGGACUGAGACACGGCCCAGACUCCUACGGGAGGCAGCAGUGGGGAAUAUUGCGCAAUGGGCGAAAGCCUGACGCAGCAACGCCGCGUGAGGGAUGACGGCCUUCGGGUUGUAAACCUCUUUCAGCAUCGACGAAGCGAAAGUGACGGUAGGUGCAGAAGAAGGACCGGCCAACUACGUGCCAGCAGCCGCAGUAA
rnacentral:rRNA from 1 species